CAGGAUUAGGUGAGUUGUGAUUGACAGCUACUUUCACCUAUCAGGAAGGGGCAGUCCCAUUUAAGCACUGAUUGGCUGCUGCCCGGAAUGCGUCAUGUCCUGUGUUUCCCCCGGGUGUUUGCAGCAAUAGCGACAGCGUGUUUGUCCAGCGUACUGGUGCCCUUGUGCUGUUGAUGGCUUAAAUGACUGUGCACCCUCAGUUGGCUGUGGUUGACCUGUUGUAGGUUAAACGGUGCUGUAAAAGACGUUAAUGUGUCUGGGGUGAUGCCACUGGGCGGGUUCUCCCUUUUGCUCUACAUUAUGUUUACCUCUUGAGUGUUCUCGUGCGGCUGUCGCAUCGCUGUAAAACCGACAUCAUCAUACUCCUUGCAGUACAAUGGAUUGUACACUGUCUGGUUCCUGCCUUUAGUGUUAUAUAUCUUGGAG